UACGUAGGGUGCGAGCGUUAAUCGGAAUCACUGGGCGUAAAGGGCGCGUAGGCGGCCGAUCAAGUCGGGGGUGAAAGCCUGUGGCUCAACCACAGAAUUGCCUUCGAUACUGUUUGGCUUGAGACCGGAAGAGGAGAAUGGAAUUCCUGGUGUAGCGGUGAAAUGCGCAGAUAUCAGGAAGAACACCCGUGGCUAAGGCGGUUCUCUAGUACGGUACUGACGCUGAGACGCGAAAGCGUGGGGAGCGAACAGG
rnacentral:rRNA from 1 species